CAGCCCGACUUGACACCAGAAGAUGGAACAAAUGAAACAGAAUCCGCUGAAAUGGAUGACGAUGAGCAGUGUUUCACAAACAUCUUCAACGAUCCUGAAAUCCAAGAGCAACCCAUCUACUCUGGUGCAUCAAUUAACCGUGGACAGCUACUGUGCCUCAUUCUGGCGUUCAUCUUGAAACACAGCAUUAGUGGCAGUGGAUUAAAAGAUUUGUUGGAUCUUUUAAAUAUUGUAGCACCUGGAUGUGCCCCCACAAGUAAAUACUACUUUGACAAAUCUUUCUUUAAUUUGGCAAAACAAUUCGAAAUUCACCAUUACUGUAAAAUUUGCUCGCAAUAUAUAGGUAAAGUAAACAAAAAUGAAGGGUAUUAUUUUCUCGUAAUGCCCUUACGGCAACAACUGAAGGAGCUCUUCCAAAACACUACUUUCUACAAGUUCUUAAACGACAACAAAACAAAUAUGGGCAUGGGGGACAUUUACAGUGGAAGUAUGUACACCUCAAAACUUAAAACCUUUGUUGAUACCCUUGACAACAUUUCACUUUCAUUUAAUAUUGAUGGGGCUUCAGUUUUUAAAUCAUCCAAUUACUCAAUUUGGCCAAUUAUCUGCACA